rnacentral:lncRNA from 1 species
ACGAAAGCCGGCGGAAAUCUCCAGAGCAUCGGUCAAGCAAAUUUCCUACUUGUGAGAAGCAAGCAAUGAUAACUACGUUCCUUUUCGCGUUGGCCUGUAUUUCUGCAGCAUCGGCCCAAAAUGUCAGUAGCUCAACUGAAGGACCAGUCACCAGUAGCACUGGGCCCACUCCUGGAAUAGAUCGCACCGUGAACUAUGGUAAGUCAGUUAAAAUUAUUUGUUUCUUACUAACCUACAUGUCAGCACCAUCGUUUGAACACAAGCAAUGACGGCAUAUUAUGUUUACUGCAUUUUAAGGAAAGCGCAGGCAUUCAUCUACGAAGCCCAUUAUACAGUGAAUGCUUACCUUUGAAACCAUGCGCGAUAAAUGUCUCGUUCAUUUUUGAAAUAAUGGAGACAUAAGCACGUACGGCAAAAUGCCGCUCCAGUUUUAUGAAUAACAAGCGUUAGACUUAGAAAACAAAUCUAAAAAAAAAGAAACUUAGGAUUUUCCUAUCGUAGUUACGCCACCACGAAGCGUGGCGUAACUACCACAUACUGUGGUACGCCUGAACAAGCGGAACUACGCUCUCUCUAUGCUGAUGCAACUUUAUCGUCUCCAUCGCUUGCAAGCGUUCAUUUCAACAAUUCUAACACAUCAAUCAAAUGACAGAAAUUCUCGUGCGCACACAAGAAAUCGCGUGAGUUGCCAGUCGAGCAAUUAAGUUGUGCCAUAUGCAAGUAGAUAGAGUCACUUGUCAUACCUAGCAGGGUCACGAGUGCCAUCAUCCUGUCAGUUUACUCUUGUUCCGUUCUGCGGUUCCGGCCCUUUUAAUAACCUUAUAGUUAAGUCGCGCUGAUGCUUACCAGGCGGCUUGAGGAAAAUGAAAAGUUGGCGUAUGACGACAGCGCAACAACAACAAAACAAACUGUUGUACAUAACGAAAGCACACCGGGAAUGUACGUGAAGCGACAUUCCACCAAGGAGUGCCAAGUAACUUUUACCGGACCACCACUGAUGCGCAUAAUUGUGCUUCAUAUUAGUAUAUCCUCCGUGAAAGCUCGCGUCACGUUUACGUUCAUUCAAGACAAGUGCUGCAACUGCAUUCUCGUGCACAUUUCGCAUUUAUGCACCACACCGCUGUCAGGCUAUGCUCAAGGGCCAACUUCGGAUCACCCUGGUUCACACCGUGAGAUGCGUAUGCAGUGACAUUACGAGGACAAAGGCAAUGUAUGAUGCUGUUGAGGGAAGAAUGGUGAUGGCAGGUGUAUGCGCAGCAAAGUACGGCACGUAUCAAGCAAGAAUAAGUGAUUCUGAAUCUUCUAUAUCCCAGUGGCACAGAUGGAUGACUGGCCAAAAGUUGACACAAACUCGGGCUACACAUUGAAUCUUAUGUUAAAAUAAAACACAAUAAUGCAUCCGUAUAUUAUUAUGCACUAUUC